AAUCCAGAUGGAAAAUACCCCAAAUCCGAUGAUCAUGAAGUAAGUCAGGUUUUAGACAAGUUUUAUGUUUUUUUUUCCGUACAUCCUAAUGUGUGAUUACAAUAUAUAAAUUUGGCUUAACUUCCAGUCUCAUUAAAUGUUCAUUAUCAUAUCGACAAUUUCAUUUUAUAAGGUUUUUUGUGUCAACACCCCUGUUCGGAAUCUAAUUGAAGUGGAUUAUGAAUUAAGUGCUCCAAGACAUACAAUUCCUAGAGUAUGUUAUUUAAUUUUAUAAGUACAUUUGUUAUACCAUUUUUUGGGUCAUUACUUUUAAGGUGUUGUUAUUUUUAUGAAAUUAAUAGGUAAAUCAACCAAGUUUUGUAUUUGAUAUACCCCCGCAAAAAGUGCUUGGAGUAUCUAAAAAAUCUCAUGAGGAUGAUGUUGAACAAAUGUCAUGUCCAGUCCCUAUCCGUAUUUUGGAUCACAUGAAACUGACAACCGAUUCACAGUUUGAAUUGGACGAUCAAUUCAUGCCUAGUCUCAAUUCUAUAAAUAGUAGCAUCGCACCACAUUCAACUGUGAUAAAAGGACACACUGAACAGCUGCCAACAACAGUUGCAGGAUGCAUUACAACAAAGGAAGAUCAGGCCACUAUCGAUGUCCAAUUGGGUACGAACGAUGAAAAUUUGAUGAUAGUUCAACCUAUCGCAAUAACGAACAGACGCCAUUACCUACGCGUAGGAAUAGACGUCUAGGUCUUAUAAUACAUCUCCGUAUUUGACCAAUUUUGGAUCAUCUACUGGUACAGUAUUUCAUUAUUUUAAUACUUUUGUUAAUUUAAUCAUUUUUUUAUUGCUACUGUUAGUGUGUAUUUAAUUUAUAGUGUUUUGAACCAUCUCAGGUAGUUCAUCAAGUCAGCCCCACAUUUUUGAAUUGAAACACCCUUUUAUAUUUGAUUUGAUAUCUGACGAUUAUGAUAUAACAUUGUGGGAUGCGUUUCGUUCAUGGAUCCGAGAUGGCUUACUUACAAAGCAUGACAGAAAGAAGCAUGAUCAAGACCAUUACAAGAAGAAUCUAGCUGAAAUUUCUAUGGCCAUUAACCUUGGCGUUCUCAUAGUAGACAAUAAGAAUUGGUUCUAUAAUCUGUUUUUCAAAGGACAGUUAUUGAACAAUUUGGUAAGAGAUAUUUAGCAUUUAUAUUUACAAACAAUGAUUAUUAGUAGUUAUAGUAUUUAUACAUUUGUGUUUAAAUUUGUCAGCGUGUUGAUGUGAUUUUAUAUUAUCUACGGAAAAAAGCCAAAGUAUGAUGUUGGAGGAAGCUAUAAAUACACAACUUUAAAUUGUGUAUUUAGUUCAAAGAUCUCUGCUAUUUGGAAAAAAUGUUUGGAUUUAGAUAGCGGUGUUGGUUGUGCCGAUGAAGAGCAUGUCAUUGGUGAAUACAUUAGAAGGUACAAAAUGCAUGCUGCUACACCUUGGCAUAAGAUCGAUUACGUUUUUGUUCCUGUCCACGUCAAGGAGAAAUUUCAUUGGGUGUUGGCUGUGAUAUCAUUUAAUGUUUAGUGUAUCAACGUGUAUGACUCAUAUAGGGCAGCAGGUCACGAUGUAGCUAUCAAGGCAGAGAUAGUUAAACUGUCUCAGUUGAUCCCUUUGAAGUUAUCAGUCAAUGAAUAUUACAACAAUAAAGGAAUUGAUGUAUCGCAAGCUCAACAAGAGAAUGAGUUCUUUAAUGUAGUAUUCAUAGAUAAUGUUCCUCAACAGCCGCAUGGGUCUCUGGAUUGCGGUAUUUAUAUGCUAGCUUUUGCCGAAUACCUAUCAUAUGGACAAGGUAUUCCAGCGAAUAUUUUGGAUGCAUCGUGUUUACGGUCAAGAUAUGCUACACUUCUUUGGAAUUAUGGCCAAUAAAAGAAUGAUGCCGGAGCAAUAAGUGACAAUGAAGCGCCUCCA